rnacentral:tRNA from 1 species
GGCACUUUAGCUUAAUGGUAAAGCACUUGACUGGUAAUCACAGAAAUGUGGUUUCGAGUCCCAUGGCUGGCG